AUUGAACGCUGGCGGCGGGCCUAACACAUGCAAGUCGAACGAGUGGCGGACGGGUGGGCAAGGGCGGAGAACCUGCGUGAUGGAGGGGGAUAAGGACGGGAAACGGUAGAUACUGCCGCAUACCACCAGAUGUGCCGAGAUGGUAUUAGCUUGUCGGUGGGGUAACGGCUCACCAAGGCGACGAUCCCUAGCUGGUCUGCGAGGGUGACCGGCCACACUGGGACUGAGACACGGUCCAGACUCCUACGGGAGGCAGCAGUGGGGAAUAUUGCGCAAUGGGCGAAAGUCUGAUACAGCCAUGCCGCGUGUGUGAAGAAGGUUUUCGGGUUGUAAAGUACUUUCGUCGGAGAAGCGUUACCCGCAGAGAAAGCACCGGCUAACUCCGUGCCAGCAGCCGCGGUAAUAC
rnacentral:rRNA from 1 species